GUUGAGACCCUGUCUCUGAACCAAGAUGUUUGCAGUUUCUCCAUCACUGGUUGGCAGAUUGUUGUCUUGGACCUGCCUGCUUGUCUGCUCAAGCCAAGAUUGUUGCUGUCCAAACUGCAGUGUGAGAUGUGCACAUCUUGACCGGCAGUGGGGCUGAGUUCCUUGGCUCCC
rnacentral:lncRNA from 12 species